AGAUAAAUAUUUAAAUUUAUAAAAUCUAUAUUGCACAUAGAAAUUGUCCUUGACUUUAUCUA
rnacentral:tRNA from 1 species